rnacentral:rRNA from 1 species
CAGCAGUAGCCACGGUAAUACGUAGGUGGCAAGCGUUGUCCGGAAUUAUUGGGCGUAAAGGGCUCGCAGGCGGUUUCUUAAGUCUGAUGUGAAAGCCCCCGGCUCAACCGGGGAGGGUCAUUGGAAACUGGGAAACUUGAGUGCAGAAGAGGAGAGUGGAAUUCCACGUGUAGCGGUGAAAUGCGUAGAGAUGUGGAGGAACACCAGUGGCGAAGGCGACUCUCUGGUCUGUAACUGACGCUGAGGAGCGAAAGCGUGGGGAGCGAACAGGAUUAGAUACCCGCGUAGUUCCUGUCUCUUAUAC